AGGUGCGAUCAUACCAGCACUGCUGCACCAGAUCCCAUCAGAACUCCGCAGUUAGCUCCGCAGUUAAGUGUGCUUGGGCGAGAGUAGUUCUAGGAUUGGUGACCUAUGGGAAGUCCUCGUGGCUCGUUCG
rnacentral:rRNA from 1 species